AUUGAACGCUGGCGGCAGGCCUAACACAUGCAAGUCGAACGGUAACAGGAAGAAGCUUGCUUCUUUGCUGACGAGUGGCGGACGGGUGAGUAAUGUCUGUGAAACUGCCUGAUGGAGGGGGAUAACUACUGGAAACGGUAGCUAAUACCGCAUAACGUCGCAAGACCAAAGAGGGGGACCUUCGGGCCUCUUGCCAUCGGAUGUGCCCAGAUGGGAUUAGCUAGUAGGUGGGGUAACGGCUCACCUAGGCGACGAUCCCUAGCUGGUCUGAGAGGAUGACCAGACACACUGGAACUGAGACACGGUCCAGACUCCUACGGGAGGCAGCAGUGGGGAAUAUUGCACAAUGGGCGCAAGCCUGAUGCAGCCAUGCCGCGUGUAUGAAGAAGGCCUUCGGGUUGUAAAGUACUUUCAGCGGGGAGGAAGGGAGUAAAGUUAAUACCUUUGCUCAUUGACGUUACCAGCAGAAGAAGCACCGGCUAACUCCGUG
rnacentral:rRNA from 1 species